CUGGCACAGGUCUCAAAGCUCAUUUUGAAACACAGGUGCGGGAGCCUCCAUCCCCUCUUCUACAAAAUGACAGCUUCACAUCAGUGAAUGCAGCCAAGAAAAGCUUGAGAAGACCAGAAGACGCCCGGUGCCUGUGCCCCGGCAUGUGGGGAUGAUGGCAGGCCAGGAGGUGUGGCGAGGUCACAGGGAACGAGGCAGUUCUCAGAAGCAUGGCUAAAACAAAAGCAGCUCACUGUGCACAAACGAGGCCAGUCAAGGCGCACGGGCCUGCCGUUGGGCUGACCCUAUGCAUCUCCGGAAGACCAGGACGGGUCCCAGCCACUGCAAUUGUGCUGUGAAGUGGCGGCUGGCCGAGGGCACUGGCAUGCCGGCGCACCGAGGCUGCUGGGGCCAGGGCCAGGGCCAGCAAUUCUCUGCGUCAGGAUUAUGGUGUCUGAAUUUGAUGCCAAUGUUCUGUUUCUGCUGAACUACCGCAGGAAGAUGAUGGACAACUGCAGGCCCUGGCCAUCUUGCCUGUGGGUCAUUUUUUGGAUCUCCGGGCGGGUCCCCAGCCUAUGAGGCCAGGCCCAUCUGACAGCCACAGGAAUAUCCAGAUCUCUGUAGUGCUUGUCGUCUGUGGUAUCUACCAUUUUGCAUCUAAAACAGUUCCUGUCAUGCAGUCGUGCCACUGACUGGGAAUGGGAACAGGUCAGGGUCUCUUUGCAAUGCUAGCUCAGCCCAUAGAUUUUUUUCAAAAGGGAAUACGGAUUCGAGAGCUCACUGCUGACCUGCCAGCCCGCUCAGAGCUGCACGCCACGAGUCCCCGCAGGAAUGUGGCUGAAAUCGGGCUGUGUGGUGGCUGCUGUGUGUGCUGGGGGUGAGUUAGCAAAGCACAGUCACUUUCCUCCCUGGCAGUGGUGAUCCCGGGGCCUGGUGGCCUUUCUUCACUUCAUGUGGGGGUUGUGCAAGCUUCCGAAUGCACACGUCCCGGCGAUGGCCCAAGAGCCCACACAGCAAGUGACACAAAGCCCCUACAUGCUCGCCCCCCCGCCCAGGGCCCACUUCCUCCAUUGGCUUCCCCUACCACCCUCAGUCCUGCCUCUUCCUCCUUCUCCCUGCUCACUACCCAGCGGUCUCCUCACUUCAAGAGCCCUUGGGUCGCCCUUCCCUGAGCAUGUGAUGACUUCUCAAAC